rnacentral:rRNA from 1 species
CCUACGGGUGGCAGCAGUGAGGAAUAUUGGUCAAUGGACGAGAGUCUGAACCAGCCAAGUAGCGUGAAGGAUGACUGCCCUAUGGGUUGUAAACUUCUUUUAUAUGGGAAUAAAAUGUUCCACGUGUGGGAUUUUGUAGGUACCAUAUGAAUAAGGCUCGGCUAACUCCGUGCCAGCAGCCGCGGUAAUACGGAGGAACCGAGCGUUUACCGGAUUUAUUGGGUUUAAAGGGAGCGUAGGUGGAUUGUUAAGUCAGUCGGGAAAGUUUGCGGCUCAACCGUAAAAUUGCAGUUGAAACUGGCAGUCUUGAGUACAGGAGAGGUGGGCGGAAUUCGUGGUGUAGCGGUGAAAUGCUUAGAUAUCACGAAGAACUCCGAUUGCGAAGGCAGCUCACUGGACUGCAACUGACACUGAGGCUCGAAAGUGUGGGUAUCAAACAGGAUUAGAUACCCGGGUAGUC